rnacentral:rRNA from 1 species
ACGCGAAGAACCUUACCUAGCCUUGACAUUGAUAGAAUCCUUUAGAGAUAGAGGAGUGCCAGUUUACUGGAGCUUGAAAACAGGUGUUGCACGGCUGUCGUCAGCUCGUGUCGUGAGAUGUUGGGUUAAGUCCCGCAACGAGCGCAACCCUCGUCCUUAGUUACUAACGGUUCGGCCGAGGACUCUAAGGAGACUGCCUUCGUAAGGAGGAGGAAGGUGAGGACGACGUCAAGUCAUCAUGACCCUUACGGCUAGGGCGACACACGUGCUACAAUGGAUAGGACAAUGAGACGCAAUACCGCGAGGUGGAGCAAAUCUAUAAACCUAUUCUCAGUUCGGAUUGUAGUCUGCAACUCGACUACAUGAAGCUGGAAUCACUAGUAAUCGUAGAUCAGCCAUGCUACGGUGAAUACGUUCCCGGGUCUUGUACACACCGA